UACAGAGGUCUCAAGCGUUGUUCGGAUUCAUUGGGCGUAAAGGGUGCGUAGGCGGCGCGGUAAGUCGGGUGUGAAAUCUCGGGGCUUAACUCCGAAACUGCAUUCGAUACUGCCGUGCUUGAGGACUGGAGAGGAGACUGGAAUUUACGGUGUAGCGGUGAAAUGCGUAGAUAUCGUAAGGAAGACCAGUGGCGAAGGCAGGUCUCUGGGCCACUACUGACGCUGAGAAGCGAAAGCAUGGGGAGCGAACAGG
rnacentral:rRNA from 1 species